UACGAAGGGGGCUAGCGUUGCUCGGAAUCACUGGGCGUAAAGGGUGCGUAGGCGGGUCUUUAAGUCAGGGGUGAAAUCCUGGAGCUCAACUCCAGAACUGCCUUUGAUACUGAAGAUCUUGAGUUCGGGAGAGGUGAGUGGAACUGCGAGUGUAGAGGUGAAAUCGUAGAUAUUGGGAAGAACACCGGUGGCGAAGGCGGCGACCUGGUCCGAUACUGACGCUGAGGCGCGAAAGCGUGGGGAGCAAACAGG
rnacentral:rRNA from 1 species